UUAAGUUAUUAAGGGCGCACGGUGGAUGCCUUGGCACUAGAAGCCGAUGAAGGACGUUACUAACGACGAUAUGCUUUGGGGAGCUGUAAGUAAGCUUUGAUCCAGAGAUUUCCGAAUGGGGAAACCCAGCAUGAGUUAUGUCAUGUUAUCGAUAUGUGAAUACAUAGCAUAUCAGAAGGCACACCCGGAGAACUGAAACAUCUUAGUACCCGGAGGAAGAGAAAGAAAAUUCGAUUCCCUUAGUAGCGGCGAGCGAAACGGGAAGAGCCCAAACCAAAAAGCUUGCUUGUUGGGGUUGUAGGACACUCUAUACGGAGUUACAAAGGACGACAUUAGACGAAUCAUCUGGAAAGAUGAAUCAAAGAAGGUAAUAAUCCUGUAGUCGAAAAUGUUGUCUCUCUUGAGUGGAUCCUGAGUACGACGGAGCACGUGAAAUUCCGUCGGAAUCUGGGAGGACCAUCUCCUAAGGCUAAAUACUCUCUAGUGACCGAUAGUGAACCAGUACCGUGAGGGAAAGGUGAAAAGCACCCCGGAAGGGGAGUGAAAUAGAACCUGAAACCGUGUGCUUACAAGUAGUCAGAGCCCGUUAAUGGGUGAUGGCGUGCCUUUUGUAGAAUGAACCGGCGAGUUACGAUUUGAUGCAAGGUUAAGCAGUAAAUGUGGAGCCGUAGCGAAAGCGAGUCUGAAUAGGGCGUUUAGUAUUUGGUCGUAGACCCGAAACCAGGUGAUCUACCCUUGGUCAGGUUGAAGUUCAGGUAACACUGAAUGGAGGACCGAACCGACUUACGUUGAAAAGUGAGCGGAUGAACUGAGGGUAGCGGAGAAAUUCCAAUCGAACCUGGAGAUAGCUGGUUCUCUCCGAAAUAGCUUUAGGGCUAGCCUCAAGUGAUGAUUAUUGGAGGUAGAGCACUGUUUGGACGAGGGGCCCCUCUCGGGUUACCGAAUUCAGACAAACUCCGAAUGCCAAUUAAUUUAACUUGGGAGUCAGAACAUGGGUGAUAAGGUCCGUGUUCGAAAGGGAAACAGCCCAGACCACCAGCUAAGGUCCCAAAAUAUAUGUUAAGUGGAAAAGGAUGUGGCGUUGCCCAGACAACUAGGAUGUUGGCUUAGAAGCAGCCAUCAUUUAAAGAGUGCGUAAUAGCUCACUAGUCGAGUGACACUGCGCCGAAAAUGUACCGGGGCUAAACAUAUUACCGAAGCUGUGGAUUGUCCUUUGGACAAUGGUAGGAGAGCGUUCUAAGGGCGUUGAAGCAUGAUCGUAAGGACAUGUGGAGCGCUUAGAAGUGAGAAUGCCGGUGUGAGUAGCGAAAGACGGGUGAGAAUCCCGUCCACCGAUUGACUAAGGUUUCCAGAGGAAGGCUCGUCCGCUCUGGGUUAGUCGGGUCCUAAGCUGAGGCCGACAGGCGUAGGCGAUGGAUAACAGGUUGAUAUUCCUGUACCACCUAUAAUCGUUUUAAUCGAUGGGGGACGCAGUAGGAUAGGCGAAGCGUGCGAUUGGAUUGCACGUCUAAGCAGUAAGGCUGAGUAUUAGGCAAAUCCGGUACUCGUUAAGGCUGAGCUGUGAUGGGGAGAAGACAUUGAGUCUUCGAGUCGUUGAUUUCACACUGCCGAGAAAAGCCUCUAGAUAGAAAAUAGGUGCCCGUACCGCAAACCGACACAGGUAGUCAAGAUGAGAAUUCUAAGGUGAGCGAGCGAACUCUCGUUAAGGAACUCGGCAAAAUGACCCCGUAACUUCGGGAGAAGGGGUGCUCUUUAGGGUUAACGCCCAGAAGAGCCGCAGUGAAUAGGCCCAAGCGACUGUUUAUCAAAAACACAGGUCUCUGCUAAACCGUAAGGUGAUGUAUAGGGGCUGACGCCUGCCCGGUGCUGGAAGGUUAAGAGGAGUGGUUAGCUUCUGCGAAGCUACGAAUCGAAGCCCCAGUAAACGGCGGCCGUAACUAUAACGGUCCUAAGGUAGCGAAAUUCCUUGUCGGGUAAGUUCCGACCCGCACGAAAGGCGUAACGAUUUGGGCACUGUCUCAACGAGAGACUCGGUGAAAUCAUAGUACCUGUGAAGAUGCAGGUUACCCGCGACAGGACGGAAAGACCCCGUGGAGCUUUACUGUAGCCUGAUAUUGAAAUUCGGCACAGCUUGUACAGGAUAGGUAGGAGCCUUUGAAACGUGAGCGCUAGCUUACGUGGAGGCGCUGGUGGGAUACUACCCUAGCUGUGUUGGCUUUCUAACCCGCACCACUUAUCGUGGUGGGAGACAGUGUCAGGCGGGCAGUUUGACUGGGGCGGUCGCCUCCUAAAAGGUAACGGAGGCGCUCAAAGGUUCCCUCAGAAUGGUUGGAAAUCAUUCAUAGAGUGUAAAGGCAUAAGGGAGCUUGACUGCGAGACCUACAAGUCGAGCAGGGUCGAAAGACGGACUUAGUGAUCCGGUGGUUCCGCAUGGAAGGGCCAUCGCUCAACGGAUAAAAGCUACCCCGGGGAUAACAGGCUUAUCUCCCCCAAGAGUUCACAUCGACGGGGAGGUUUGGCACCUCGAUGUCGGCUCAUCGCAUCCUGGGGCUGUAGUCGGUCCCAAGGGUUGGGCUGUUCGCCCAUUAAAGCGGUACGCGAGCUGGGUUCAGAACGUCGUGAGACAGUUCGGUCCCUAUCCGUCGUGGGCGUAGGAAAUUUGAGAGGAGCUGUCCUUAGUACGAGAGGACCGGGAUGGACAUACCUCUGGUGUACCAGUUGUCGUGCCAACGGCAUAGCUGGGUAGCUAUGUGUGGACGGGAUAAGUGCUGAAAGCAUCUAAGCAUGAAGCCCCCCUCAAGAUGAGAUUUCCCAACUUCGGUUAUAAGAUCCCUCAAAGAUGAUGAGGUUAAUAGGUUCGAGGUGGAAGCAUGGUGACAUGUGGAGCUGACGAAUACUAAUCGAUCGAAGACUUAAUCAA
rnacentral:rRNA from 1 species